rnacentral:rRNA from 1 species
UUACCCGCUGAAUUUAAGCAUAUAAUUAAGCGGAGGAAAAGAAACUAACAAGGAUUCCCCCAGUAAGGGCGACUGAAGCGGGAAGUGCUCAGGAUGUGAAUCUGCGCUAUGCGCCGAAUUGUGGUCUGUAGACAGUGGUGCUACCAGCCGGGCCAAGUCCCUUGGAACAGGGCAGCUGAGAGGGUGAGACUCCCGUUCGCCUGGCAGGGUGAGUCACUAGUCGACGAGUCGAGUUGUUUGGGAUUGCAGCUCCAAGUUGGUGGUAAAUUCCAUCUAAAGCUAAAUAUUGGUGGGAGACCGAUAGCGUACAAGUACCGUGAGGGAAAGAUGCAAAGAACUUUGAAAAGAGAGUUAAAGAGUACCUGAAAUUGCUGAAAAGGAAGAGAAGGAAACCAGUGUUAGCUAGUUCAUACUUCCCCUUGCGCCUGCGCAGGGGGCGCUGUGGGCUAGCUGUGGUUGUGCUUGGUUGUCUGCAGUGGAGGAGCAGUCAGGGAGUUGACCUGAGUUUGCUAGCACUGGAGGUGACUGAGCACAACGAAAUGGCUUUCUUUACCCCGUCUUGAAACACGGACCAAGGAGUCUAACAUAUGUGCGAGUACAGAGGUUUCAAACCUCGGUGCGUAGUGAAAGUGACAGUGGUUGGAUAUUUGCACAAUCCGCCGGCCUCAAUCCCUCGGGAGAACGGUCUGAGUGUGAGCAUACAUGUUGGGACCCGAAAGAUGGUGAACUAUGCCUGAAUAGGGUGAAGCCAGGGGAAACUCCUGGUGGAGGCUCGUAGCGAUUCUGACGUGCAAAUCGAUCGUCAAAUUU